rnacentral:rRNA from 1 species
AGUGGCGAACGGGUGAGUAACGCGUGGGUAACCUGCCCUAUGGAAAGGAAUAGCCUCGGGAAACUGGGAGUAAUGCCUUAUAAUACAGUGAAGUCGCAUGGCUUUGCUGUUAAACGCUCCGGUGCCAUAGGAUGGACCCGCGUCCCAUUAGCUAGUUGGUGAGAUAACAGCCCACCAAGGCGACGAUGGGUAACCGGUCUGAGAGGGCGAACGGUCACACUGGAACUGAGACACGGUCCAGACUCCUACGGGAGGCAGCAGUGGGGAAUAUUGCGCAAUGGGGGCAACCCUGACGCAGCAAUACCGCGUGAGUGAAGAAGGUUUUCGGAUCGUAAAGCUCUGUUAUUGGGGAAGAAAAAAGACGGUACCCAAGAAGAAAGUCCCGGCUAACUACGUGCCAGCAGCCGCGGUAAUACGUAGGGGACAAGCGUUGUCCGGAUUUACUGGGCGUAAAGGGCACGCAGGCGGUUUUUUAAGUCAGAUGUGAAAGGUACCGGCUCAACCGGUGACAUGCAUUUGAAACUGAAAGACUUGAGUAUUGGAGAGGCAAGUGGAAUUCCUAGUGUAGCGGUGAAAUGCGUAGAUAUUAGGAGGAACACCGGUGGCGAAGGCGGCUUGCUGGACAAAUACUGACGCUGAGGUGCGAAAACGUGGGGAGCAAACAGGAUUAGAUACCCUGGUAGUCCACGCC